UACGUAGGGUGCGAGCGUUAAUCGGAAUUACUGGGCGUAAAGCGUGCGCAGGCGGCGCGUUAAGACAGGUGUGAAAGCCCCGAGCUUAACUUGGGAAUUGCGCUUGUGACUGGCGUGCUGGAGUGUGGCAGAGGGAUGUGGAAUUCCAGGUGUAGCGGUGAAAUGCGUAGAUAUCUGGAGGAACACCGGUGGCGAAGGCGGCAUCCUGGACCGGUAUUGACGCUGAGGAGCGAAAGCCAGGGGAGCAAAGCGGG
rnacentral:rRNA from 1 species